GGAGAGAUGGCCGAGCUGGUCGAAGGCGGUCGCCUGCUAAGCGAUUAAGCGGGUCAAAGCUCGCUUCGUGGGUUCGAAUCCCACUCUCUCCGCCA
rnacentral:tRNA from 1 species